GCGAGGGUAGCCAAGUCAGGAAACGGCGGCGGACUCAAGAUCCGCUCCUGUAGAGGUCCGCAGGUUCAAAUCCUGCCCCUCGCA
rnacentral:tRNA from 1 species